rnacentral:misc_RNA from 1 species
AAGUCGUAACAAGGUUUCCGUAGGUGAACCUGCGGAAGGAUCAUUACCGAGAGACGAGGUCUAACCGGCCUCAACUCUUCGCCCUCGCAUAUCUUACCUCUGUUGCUUUGGCGGGCCAUCGGUUUCCGUCGUCGGAUGCUCCAGGCCACCCGCCCGCAUCUGGCGAGCGCCCGUCGGAGGAUCUGCAAACACUGUUAACGGAGUUGUCCGACCGCUGGAAUAAUCGGCAAAACUUUCAACAACGGAUCUCUUGGUUCUG